GGGGAAUAUUGGGCAAUGGGCGCAAGCCUGACCCAGCAACGCCGCGUGAGGGAAGAAGGCUUUCGGGUUGUAAACCUCUGUCCUUGGGGACGAAAAAAUGACGGUACCCAAGGAGGAAGCUCCGGCUAACUACGUGCCAGCAGCCGCGGUAAUACGUAGGGAGCGAGCGUUGUCCGGAAUUACUGGGCGUAAAGGGUGCGUAGGCGGCAAGGCAAGUCAGAUGUGAAAUUCCCGGGCUUAACUCGGGGGGUGCAUUUGAAACUGCUUUGCUUGAGUGCAGGAGAGGAAAGCGGAAUUCCUAGUGUAGCGGUGAAAUGCGUAGAUAUUAGGAGGAACACCAGUGGCGAAGGCGGCUUUCUGGACUGUAACUGACGCUGAGGCACGAAAGCGUGGGGAGCAAACAG
rnacentral:rRNA from 1 species